AUGCCCCUACAGGGUCGUAUAUUUGUUUCAGCAAGAAUAAUGGGAUUUCAUGCAAAUUUGUUUAGACACAAGACAAAAUUCUUUUUGCUUUGGGAAGACAUAGAAGACAUACAGGGAGAGGCGUGGAUGCAAAACACGGUGCAAAAACGCAAGAUGAACAAGGCAUACUCAAGUUCCAUUUCCAAUCUUUUUGUGUCUUUCAAUGUCGCCAAUAGGACUUAUCAUGGCACUCUGGAAGGCCAGAUCUUUGAGUAUUGA